rnacentral:rRNA from 1 species
CUUGAAGACGACGAGGUAGAUAGGUUGGAGGUGGAAGUGCAGCAAUGCAUGGAGCUGACCAAUACUAAUCGGUCGAGGGCUUAUCCAA